AGAAUCAACGCUGGCGGCGUGCCUAACACAUGCAAGUCGCACGAGAAAGUGGAGCAAUCCACGAGUACAGUGGCGCACGGGUGAGUAACACGUGACUUAUCUACCUCCGAGUGGGAAUAACUGAGAGAAAUCUUAGCUAAUACCGCAUAACACUUACGAGUCAAAGCAGCAAUGCGCUUGGAGAGGAGGUCGCGGCCGAUUAGCUAGUUGGCGGGUAAUGGCCCACCAAGGCGAUGAUCGGUA
rnacentral:rRNA from 1 species